AACGAACGCUGGCGGCAUGCCUAACACAUGCAAGUCGAACGAGACCUUCGGGUCUAGUGGCGCACGGGUGCGUAACGCGUGGGAACCUGCCCCUAGGUGCGGAAUAACUCCCCGAAAGGGGUGCUAAUACCGGAUAAUGUCUUCGGACCAAAGAUUUGUCGCCUUUGGAUGGGGCCGCGUUGGAUUAGCUAGUUGGUAGGGUAAAAGCCUACCAAGGCGACGUUCCAUAGCUGGUCUGAGAGGAUGAUCAGCCACACUGGGACUGAGACACGGCCCAGACUCCUACGGGAGGCAGCAGUGGGGAAUAUUGGUCAAUGGGCGAAAGCCUGAUCCAGCAAUGCCGCGUGAGUGAUGAAGGCCUUAGGGUUGUAAAGCUCUUUUACCCGGGAUGAUAAUGACAGUACCGUGAGAAUAAGCUCCGUCUAACUCCGUG
rnacentral:rRNA from 1 species